rnacentral:rRNA from 1 species
UACGUAGGGUGCGAGCGUUGUCCGGAAUUAUUGGGCGUAAAGAGCUCGUAGGCGGUGUGUCGCGUCGGCCGUGAAAACCUGCAGCUUAACUGUGGGCUUGCGGUCGAUACGGGCAUCACUGGAGUGCGGCAGAGGAGACUGGAAUUCCCGGUGUAGCAGUGAAAUGCGUAGAUAUCGGGAGGAAUACCGAUGGCGAAGGCAGGUCUCUGGGCUGACACUGACGCUGAUGCGCGAAAGCCAGGGGAGCGAACGGG